rnacentral:miRNA from 1 species
UCCUCCAGGACGUGCAGGAGCCUUC